AAUGAACGCUGGCGGCGUGCUUAACACAUGCAAGUCGGACGAGAAAGCCUGAUUUCGGUUGGGCGAGUAAAGUGGCGCACGGGUGAGUAACGCGUAGAUAACCUACCCUCUGGUUUGGGAUAACAGUGCGAAAGCGCUGCUAAUACCGGAUACGACCUUUUAGCGGGAGCUUUAAGGUGAAAGUCAGCCUCUCGAAGAAGCUGAUGUUGGGGGAUGGGUCUGCGUCCUAUCAGCUAGUUGGUAGGGUAACGGCCUACCAAGGCGACGACGGGUAGCUGGUCUGAGAGGAUGAUCAGCCACACUGGCACUGGAACACGGGCCAGACUCCUACGGGAGGCUG
rnacentral:rRNA from 1 species